rnacentral:rRNA from 1 species
UAGUCCACGCCGUAAACGAUGAGAACUAAUUAUUGCGGGUGUUGACUCCUGCAGUGAUACAGCUAACGCGUUAAGUUCUCCGCCUGGGGAGUACGGUCGCAAGACUAAAACUCAAAGGAAUUGACGGGGGCCCGCACAAGCGGUGGAUUAUGUGGUUUAAUUCGAAGCAACGCGCAAAACCUUACCUGAGCUUGAACUCCUGAGAAUCUGACGUAAAUGUCGGAGUGCCCUUCGGGGAAUUCAGUGAGAGGCGCUGCAUGGCUGUCGUCAGCUCGUGUUGUGAAAUGUUGGGUUAAGUCUCGCAACGAGCGCAACCCCUAUCUUUAGUUGCCAGCAUUAAGUUGGGCACUCUAGAGAGACUGCCUGGGUUAACCAGGAGGAAGGUGGGGAUGACGUCAAGUCCUCAUGGCCCUUAUG